GUAACACUCAUCCAUUUGAUAGCAAAGAAAAAGAGGAAUACAAACCACACAGUAUUUCCUUUACACAGUCUCUACAACAGUCUUCCAAGUUCAGCAGCUAUAGUCGCUGAUGUAAAAAACUACCACCUGAUGCAGUGCUGACAGA